AAUUUAUACGGUGAAACUGCGAAAUGGCUCAUUAAAUCAGUUAUCGUUUAUUUGAUAGUACCUUACUACAUGGAUACCUGUGGUAAUUCUAGAGCUAAUACAUGCUAAAAACCUCGACUUCGGAAGGGGUGUAUUUAUUAGAUAAAAAACCAAUGCCCUUCGGGGCUCCUUGGUGAAUCAUAAUAACUUAACGAAUCGCAUGGCCUUGCGCCGGCGAUGGUUCAUUCAAAUUUCUGCCCUAUCAACUUUCGAUGGUAGGAUAGUGGCCUACCAUGGUGGCAACGGGUAACGGGGAAUUAGGGUUCGAUUCCGGAGAGGGAGCCUGAGAAACGGCUACCACAUCCAAGGAAGGCAGCAGGCGCGCAAAUUACCCAAUCCCGACACGGGGAGGUAGUGACAAUAAAUACUGAUACGGGGCUCUUUUGGGUCUCGUAAUUGGAAUGAGUACAAUUUAAAUCCCUUAACGAGGAACAAUUGGAGGGCAAGUCUGGUGCCAGCAGCCGCGGUAAUUCCAGCUCCAAUAGCGUAUAUUAAAGUUGUUGCAGUUAAAAAGCUCGUAGUUGAACCUUGGGUCUGGCUGGCCGGUCCGCCUCACCGCGAGUACUGGUCCGGCUGGACCUUUCCUUCUGGGGAACCCCAUGGCCUUCACUGGCUGUGGGGGGAACCAGGACUUUUACUGUGAAAAAAUUAGAGUGUUCAAAGCAGGCCUUUGCUCGAAUACAUUAGCAUGGAAUAAUAGAAUAGGACGUGCGGUUCUAUUUUGUUGGUUUCUAGGACCGCCGUAAUGAUUAAUAGGGAUAGUCGGGGGCGUCAGUAUUCAGCUGUCAGAGGUGAAAUUCUUGGAUUUGCUGAAGACUAACUACUGCGAAAGCAUUCGCCAAGGAUGUUUUCAUUAAUCNGGGAACGAAAGUU
rnacentral:rRNA from 1 species